rfam:Triticum aestivum genome assembly, contig: Triticum_aestivum_CS42_TGACv1_scaffold_362467_4DS
UUAUUACUCCCUCCGUCCGGAAAUACUUGUCAUCAAAAUGGAUAAAAAGAUAUGUAUCUAGAACUAAAAUACGUCUAGAUACAUCCCCUUUUAUCAAUUUUGAUUUUCUGGACGGAGGGAGUAUAUA